UACGGUUAAAUCACGCUGGAACACCGGUUCUCGUUCGAUCACCGAAGUCAGGUCAGUACUUAGAUGGGGGACCGCUUGGGAACACCUGGUACUGUAAG